rnacentral:rRNA from 1 species
GUUUCAUAUCAAUAAGCGGAGGAAAAGAAACUAACAAGGAUUCCCCUAGUAACGGCGAGUGAAGUGGGAAAAGCUCAACUUUGAAAUCUGGCACCUUCGGUGUCCGAGUUGUAGUCUCAAGAAGUGUUUUCUGUGCUGGUCCAUGUAUGAGUCUGUUGGAACACAGCGUCAUAGAGGGUGACAACCCCGUUCAUGACAUGGAUACCAGUGCUUUGUGAUACACUCUCGAAGAGUCGAGUUGUUUGGGAAUGCAGCUCAAAUUGGGUGGUAAAUUCCAUCUAAAGCUAAAUAUUGGCGAGAGACCGAUAGCAAACAAGUACCGUGAGGGAAAGAUGAAAAGCACUUUGGAAAGAGAGUUAACAGUACGUGAAAUUGUUGAAAGGGAAACGAUUGAAGUCAGACGUGCGUGAUGCGGUUCAGCACUGGUUCGCCAGUGUGUAUUCCGUAUCUUUGCAGGCCAACAUCAGUUUCGGUAGUCGGAUAAAGGUUAGUUGAAUGUGGCACCUUCGGGUGUGUUAUAGCUUCUAACUGAAUACGAUUUCUGGGACUGAGGAACGCAGCGCGCCGCAAGGCAAAGGUUCCGACCUUUUCCCGCUUAGGAUGUUGGUGAAAUGGCUUUAAACGACCCGUCUUGAAACACG